UGGGGAAUAUUACACAAUGGGCGAAAGCCUGAUGCAGCGACGCCGCGUGAGGGAUGACGGCCUUCGGGUUGUAAACCUCUUUCAGCAGGGACGAAGCGCAAGUGACGGUACCUGCAGAAGAAGCACCGGCUAACUACGUGCCAGCAGCCGCGGUAAUACGUAGGGUGCAAGCGUUGUCCGGAAUUACUGGGCGUAAAGAGUUCGUAGGCGGUUUGUCGCGUCGUUUGUGAAAACCAGCAGCUCAACUGCUGGCUUGCAGGCGAUACGGGCAGACUUGAGUACUGCAGGGGAGACUGGAAUUCCUGGUGUAGCGGUGAAAUGCGCAGAUAUCAGGAGGAACACCGGUGGCGAAGGCGGGUCUCUGGGCAGUAACUGACGCUGAGGAACGAAAGCGUGGGUAGCGAACAGG
rnacentral:rRNA from 1 species